UACGUAGGGUGCAAGCGUUAAUCGGAAUUACUGGGCGUAAAGCGUGCGCAGGCGGUUUUGUAAGUCUGUCGUGAAAGCCCCGGGCUCAACCUGGGAAUUGCGAUGGAGACUGCAAGGCUUGAAUCUGGCAGAGGGGGGUAGAAUUCCACGUGUAGCAGUGAAAUGCGUAGAGAUGUGGAGGAACACCGAUGGCGAAGGCAGCACCCUGGGUCAAGAUUGACGCUCAUGCACGAAAGCGUGGGGAGCAAACAGG
rnacentral:rRNA from 1 species